CUAUUCUCGAGAUGACUUCAUCAAUCCUUCUCUUUUCCUGUAGGAUUAUUUCAAACUCCCCCUUACAAUCCUGACAUGGUGUCCAUGCAUUUUCUUGCGGGCUGGCUGCAUGGCCUCUGCCAGGUGAUGGACCAGAGGUGUUGAGGCUGUACGGUGAUGGGCUGGGUGUAUGGCCUCCACCAGGUGAUGGACCAGAGGUGUUGAGGCUGUAUGGUGAUGGGCUGGGUGUAUGACCUCUGAAGGGUGAUGGACCAGAGGUGUUGAGGCUGUACGGUGAUGGGCUGGGUGUAUGGCCUCUGUAGGGUGAUGGACCAAUGUUCCCCCCUUUGGCAGAGCUAUAAUAAAAUUACAUGGAACCAGAGAUGACAUUUCUGUAAACUCAAAUUGCCCAGAAGAGAUUUGACCAAUGACUACAAAGAACUGACUGGCAUAGACAUAAAUGAAAGGUAGUUGCUGCCUUGACAACUGGGGCUGUCUACUCUUUUUUUUAUGUAUAUGAUGGCCAGUCACAAUAAUGAAAAUAAAUGUACUAUGACCAAAAUCUGCCAUAUUUAUAAUAAUUUUAUAUUUUAAAAACAUAAAACAUUUCAAUACUGGAAAUAGCUGAACAACAAGAUCACAAUAUGUUGUGACGUGAGCUCGUAAAAAGAUGAACGUAAACGAUUCUGAUCAUUAAGC